ACUCCUACGGGAGGCAGCAGUGGGGAAUAUUGCACAAUGGGGGAAACCCUGAUGCAGCCAUGCCGCGUGUGUGAAGAAGGCCUUCGGGUUGUAAAGCACUUUCAGUAGGGAGGAAGGUAGUGUAGUUAACACCUGCAUUAUUUGUACGUUACCUACAGAAGAAGCACCGGCUAACUCCGUGCCAGCAGCCGCGGUAAGUACGGAGGGUGCGAGCGUUAAUCGGAAUUACUGGGCGUAAAGCGCAUGCAGGCGGCCUGUUAAGUCAGAUGUGAAAGCCCGGGGUCUUAACCGUCGGAAUUGCAUUUGAAACUGGCAGGCUAGAGUCUUGUAGAGGGGUUAGAAUUUCAGGUGUAGCGGUGAAAUGCGUAGAGAUCUGAAGGAAUACCAGUGGCGAA
rnacentral:rRNA from 1 species